ensembl:snRNA U6 U6 spliceosomal RNA
GUGCUCCUUUAGACAGCACACAUACUAAAAUUGGAAUGAAAAAGGGAAGAUUAGCAUGGCAUCUUGGCAAAGAUAACACGCAAACUCAUGAUAUCUUCUAUAUUUUU